CCUACGGGAGGCAGCAGUGGGGAAUAGUGGGCAAUGGGCGCAAGCCGGACCCAGCAACGCCGCGGGAAGGAAGAAGGCUUUCGGGUGGUAAACGUCUGUUCUCAGGGACGAAGCAAGUGACGGGACCGGAGGAAUAAGCCACGGCUAACUACGUGCCAGCAGCCGCGGUAAUAAGUAGGGGGCAAGAGUUAUCCGGAUUUACUGGGUGUAAAGGGCGUGUAGGCGGGACUGCAAGUCAGAUGGGAAAACCACGGGCUCAACCUGUGGCCUGCAUUUGAAACUGUCGUUCUUGAGUACUGGCUAGGCAGCCGGUAUUCCUCUUGUAGCGGUGCACUGCGUCGAUCUUCGGAGGUACCCCAGUGGCGCAGGCGGUCUGCUGGACAGCACCUGCCGCUGAGGCGCGAACGUGUGGGUAUCAAACCGGAUUAGCUACCCCUGUAGUC
rnacentral:rRNA from 1 species